CUAAGCCUAAUCCAAUGCAUAACAGAGGUCUGAGGAGACCCCCUUAAGAAAUGCAUGCCCGGGGUAAAAGAGGCCUUACUUUAACUUCUGAUACCAAAUACAGUCUCCAACCUAACUUUGAACAAAAUCAUAGACGUUUCUCUGAUAGAGUUCACUGAAACAAAAAGGGAGAAAAGGCCCACUCUACUCACACUUAAUCGACUUGUAUAUGUGGCGAACAAAGAACAG
rnacentral:misc_RNA from 1 species